rnacentral:rRNA from 1 species
AGAGUUUGAUCCUGGCUCAGGAUGAACGCUGGCGGCGUGCCUAAUACAUGCAAGUCGAACGCUUUGUGGUCCAACUGAUUUGAAGAGCUUGCUCAGAUAUGACGAUGGACAUUGCAAAGAGUGGCGAACGGGUGAGUAACACGUGGGAAACCUACCUCUUAGCAGGGGAUAACACUUGGAAACAAGUGCUAAUACCGUAUAACACUAAUAACCGCAUGGUUAUUAGUUAAAAGAUGGUCUUGCUAUCACUAAGAGAUGGUCCCGCGGUGUAUUAGCUAGUUGGUAAGGUAAUGGCUUACCAAGGCAAUGAUACAUAGCCGAGUUGAGAGACUGAUCGGCCACAAUGGGACUGAGACACGGCCCAUACUCCUACGGGAGGCAGCAGUAGGGAAUCUUCCACAAUGGACGAAAGUCUGAUGGAGCAACGCCGCGUGUGUGAUGAAGGGUUUCGGCUCGUAAAACACUGUUGUAAGAGAAGAAUGACAUUGAGAGUAACUGUUCAGUGUGUGACGGUAUCUUACCAGAAAGGAACGGCUAAAUACGUGCCAGCAGCCGCGGUAAUACGUAUGUUCCAAGCGUUAUCCGGAUUUAUUGGGCGUAAAGCGAGCGCAGACGGUUAUUUAAGUCCGAAGUGAAAGCCCACAGCUUAACUGUGGAAGUGCUUUGGAAACUGGAUAACUUGAGUGCAGUAGAGGAGAGUGGAACUCCAUGUGUAGCGGUGAAAUGCGUAGAUAUAUGGAAGAACACCAGUGGCGAAGGCGGCUCUCUGGACUGUAACUGACGUUGAGGCUCGAAAGUGUGGGUAGCAAACAGGAUUAGAUACCCUGGUAGUCCACACCGUAAACGAUGA